GUUUUCAUGCUCUUUUCAUGCUUAUGUCAUGCAUGUUACUUUGUUCAUGCUGCUCGCACCUUCAACUUCUUAUCCAGUUUAAGACCAACUGUCACGACUGAGACUGUGGCGUGGUUUGUUCUCCCGAGGUGCAAGUGAUUUGGACCAGACAUGGCGUGAAGGAAGGUCGCACAUUUCUGCAGCACGCAGCUGAUGUAAUGCAUCUUCAUGGCCAAGACUUCGUUCAUGUUCUGCUGCUUCACACACUGCUCACACAGCAGGUCCAUCACUUGGGAACACUUCUCCAGCGCUCCAACAUCCACCAGAACGGGAUUCUCCCUCACCAGCAUGACCAACUGGCAGAUUGGACAGCAGGUUAAAUAAACAUGUACACAUGUUGCAUACGUGUGCAUUUAUUUUGUGUCCCUCUACUUAACUUAAAGGGGGAAUUGCACUUUUUGGGGAAUUUUGUCCAUCAUUCACAAUCCGAAUGUAAGACAAGAACACAUGUUUUUCUUUUUUUAUGCAUUCUAAUGUGUAAUAUAUUGUAUAUGUACAAUAACCUCUCUUUUCAACACCAU